rnacentral:rRNA from 1 species
UACGUAGGGGGCAAGCGUUGUCCGGAAUCAUUGGGCGUAAAGAGCGUGUAGGCGGCCCGGUAAGUCCGCUGUGAAAGUCGGGGGCUCAACCCUCGAAUGCCGGUGGAUACUGUCAGGCUAGAGUGCGGAAGAGGCGAGUGGAAUUCCUGGUGUAGCGGUGAAAUGCGCAGAUAUCAGGAGGAACACCAAUUGCGAAGGCAGCUCGCUGGGACGUAACUGACGCUGAGACGCGAAAGCGUGGGGAGCAAACAGG